rnacentral:lncRNA from 1 species
GGUACUGCUAUGAUCUGUUCACGAACGGUGGCUUCCCGUGUCACUGUAUCACCUUUGUUCUGAAUGAAUGAUCUGGGUUAGCUUGUGCAGGGUUCCGUAUUGGAGCUCCCACGAUGCAGGUUCGUGGGUUUGAUCUCUCUGUCUGCACCGGUACAACUUUUGAGGUCACAGCAAACGAACCGGCGGCCUACCACAUGACCAAUGCUUUGCCUUCCGGUGAGACAACCUAUGAGAAAGAGAAGAUUAGCUUACCCUUCUUUGAUUUCCUGGGUGUUGGAGCAUAGGGGCUCUCCACGCGAUAUGCACAGGAAAUCUGUGAAGGCUGGUGGUACAGGACCAAGAGAGGAGACCUGCAAAACGAAGAGAGGAGGGUGAAGGUGAAGUUGUAUCCAUAGUAGGCCAGACUUCUCAAGGUUGUCAGUCAACAAGUUCAAAAAACAUUUUAACAUGCGAAUUAAACCAGAUGAUAUGAUGCAUCAUCUGAUCUGUACCAAGAUUUCAAGGAAGGCAAUCAAAAUCAAAGAAAUGAAAAAUUCUUCCAAGAUCUACUGGGCAUGCUUGAACUUUUAAUUUCUCUAAAAUACUAGUGUAUUUUAUUAAUGCUUCCUCGCAAGCAAGGAGGCACCUACCACUAAUGACAUCUCUCUCUCUCCCCCGUGAGAGAGAUUU